CUAAGAUCUUGAUAAGAUGGUAUCUGAUAUUCUGAUAGAUUGGGAUGAGGAGAGGCAUUCUGAUAUUCUAAAACAUAAGAUCUUUUAUCUUUAUCAAAUAUUCUGAGCCUCUGGGAAAGAGCAGUUUUCAGCCACAAUGCCUGAUGGUGGACACCUCCAUUUAGCUAUGGAAGAAUCUGGUCUGAAACCCCUGCAGGAUACAGGAAGAGAACCACGUCUCCCUUCCUUACCUCUUUGACCACCUAUAGGCAUUUGUACAAUUCAUCUUUAACCAUAUGGAGGAAACAUUAAGUUGACAGAACUUACAAAAUGAUAUUGACUUAAGCUGAUUCCUAGAAUGCCGUGCUUCUUCACCACAAAAUGCCACUCAAAGUAAAUCAGCAAGUUCUUUAAAAAACUUUGUAUCAACUUCAUUUGAGAACAGCUGAAGAAUAAAGUUCCCUUCCUAACUAAAAUUAAGCUAAAGAAGCAUGAUUCAACAAAAUAAUUUUUCCAACUAGGUAAUUAACAGAUAUUUAACGAUUAUUUUCU
rnacentral:lncRNA from 1 species